rnacentral:rRNA from 1 species
AGCAGCCGCGGUAAUUCCAGCUCCAAUAGCGUAUAUUAAAGUUGUUGCAGUUAAAAAGCUCGUAGUUGAACUUCGGGGUUUACCCAUUGGUCAGGCUUAAUUGUCUGCACUGGUGAGAUGAAUCUCUACCUUCUGAGGAACUUUCAUGCCAUUUAUUUGGUGUGAUUGGAAAUCAGGACUGUUACUUUGAAAAAAUUAGAGUGUUUAAAGCAGGCUAACGUCUGAAUACAUUAGCAUGGAAUAAUGAAAUAGGACGGACUGAUUCUAUUUCGUUGGUUUCUAGGAUCACCGUAAUGAUUAAUAGGGAUAGUUGGGGGCAUUAGUAUUCAAUUGUCAGAGGUGAAAUUCUUGGAUUUAUUGAAGACUAACUACUGCGAAAGCAUUUGCCAAGGAUGUUUUCAUUAAUCAAGAACGAAAGUUAGGGGAUCGAAGACGAUCAGAUACCGUCGUAGUCUUAACCAUAAACUAUGCCGACUAGGGAUCGGACGAAGUUAAUUUUAUAAUGACGCGUUCGGCACCUUACG